AAGGGCAGGUGGUCAACACUGGGGACAAGAAGCAGACAUACUUCCAAGAGGGAGCUGCAGUGAGGUCAGAGGAGGCGCUGGAAGGUUUCCCUAAUAGUUCCUGGUGAAUCAAAGCAGAACCAUAAAGGUUGCUGGACUGCAUGAUGGCCUUACCCCUGAGCAGUCAUCCUGUUAAAGGAUGAACCAGUUAGAAGCUGUUUUCAAAGUAGCUGAGCAGAUUUCAUCUCAAACAAAGCCGAUGGCAGAAGAUGUCAGAGAAGAA